GGCGGGUCUCCCCGCAUUGCAUCGCGGUUCACCUGGUCAGGUCCGGAAGGAAGCAGCCAAAGCCGCAUCGUGCAAGUGCCGGGGGUCAGGCUCGCCACC
rnacentral:SRP_RNA from 1 species